CUACGGGCCGCUCCAGUGAGGAAUAUUGCACAAUGGGGGGAACCCUGAUGCAGCAACGCCGCGUGGAGGAUGACGCAUUUCGGUGUGUAAACUCCUUUUAUAUGUCAAGAAAAUGACGGUAGCAUAUGAAUAAGCACCGGCUAACUCCGUGCCAGCAGGCCGCGGUAAUAAGGAGGGUGCAAGCGUUACUCGGAAUCACUGGGCGUAAAGGACGCGUAGGCGGGUUGGAAAGUCAGGUGUGAAAUCCUACAGCUUAACUGUAGAACUGCACUUGAAACUUCUAAUCUAGAGUAUGGGAGGGGGAGAUGGAAUUAGUGGUGUAGGGGUAAAAUCCGUAGAUAUCACUAGGAAUACCUAAAGCGAAGGCGAUCUCCUGGAACAUUACUGACGCUAAGGCGUGAAAGCGUGGGGAGCAAACAGGAUUAGAUACCCGCGUAGUC
rnacentral:rRNA from 1 species